UACGAAGGGGGCUAGCGUUGUUCGGAUUUACUGGGCGUAAAGCGCACGUAGGCGGAUUGUUAAGUGAGGGGUGAAAUCCUGGAGCUCAACUCCAGAACUGCCUUUCAUACUGGCAAUCUAGAGUCCGGAAGAGGUAAGUGGAACUCCUAGUGUAGAGGUGGAAUUCGUAGAUAUUCGCAAGAACACCAGUGGCGAAGGCGGCUCACUGGCCCGGUACUGACGCUGAGGUGCGAAAGCGUGGGGAGCAAACAGG
rnacentral:rRNA from 1 species